rnacentral:rRNA from 1 species
UGCGUACCUUUUGUAUAAUGGGUCAGCGACUUAUAUUCUGUAGCAAGGUUAACCGUAUAGGGGAGCCGUAGGGAAACCGAGUCUUAACCGGGCGUUAAGUUGCAGGGUAUAGACCCGAAACCCGGUGAUCUAGCCAUGGGCAGGUUGAAGGUUGGGUAACACUAACUGGAGGACCGAACCGACUAAUGUUGAAAAAUUAGCGGAUGACCUGUGGCUGGGGGUGAAAGGCCAAUCAAACCGGGAGAUAGCUGGUUCUCCCCGAAAGCUAUUUAGGUAGCGCCUCGUGAAUUCAUCUCCGGGGGUAGAGCACUGUUUCGGCUAGGGGGCCAUCCCGGCUUACCAACCCGAUGCAAACUGCGAAUACCGGAGAAUGUUAUCACGGGAGACACACGGCGGGUGCUAACGUCCGUCGUGAAGAGGGAAACAACCCAGACCGCCAGCUAAGGUCCCAAAGUCAUGGUUAAGUGGGAAACGAUGUGGGAAGGCCCAGACAGCCAGGAUGUUGGCUUAGAAGCAGCCAUCAUUUAAAGAAAGCGUAAUAGCUCACUGGUCGAGUCGGCCUGCGCGGAAGAUGUAACGGGGCUAAACCAUGCACCGAAGCUGCGGCAGCGACGCUUAUGCGUUGUUGGGUAGGGGAGCG